rnacentral:rRNA from 1 species
UGGGGAAUCUUGGACAAUGGGCGCAAGCCUGAUCCAGCCAUGCCGCGUGCGGGAAGAAGGCCUUCGGGUUGUAAACCGCUUUUGUCAGGGAAGAAACGGUUCGUACUAAUACUGUGAACUAAUGACGGUACCUGAAGAAUAAGCACCGGCUAACUACGUGCCAGCAGCCGCGGUAAUACGUAGGGUGCAAGCGUUAAUCGGAAUUACUGGGCGUAAAGCGUGCGCAGGCGGCUAUGCAAGACAGAUGUGAAAUCCCCGGGCUCAACCUGGGAACUGCAUUUGUGACUGCAUAGCUGGAGUGCGGCAGAGCGGGCUGGCAAGGCGCAU